ACCGAUGCGUAGAGUAUGAUCGCGGUCGGUCGCGCAGCGGAGAGGUGCUUGCACCUUUCAAGCGAGUGGCGAACGGGUGAGUAACACGUGGAUAACCUGCCUCAAGGCUGGGGAUAACAUUUGGAAACAGAUGCUAAUACCGAAUAAAACUUAGUAUCGCAUGAUAUCAAGUUAAAAGGCGCUACGGCGUCACCUAGAGAUGGAUCCGCGGUGCAUUAGUUAGUUGGUGGGGUAAAGGCUUACCAAGACGAUGAUGCAUAGCCGAGUUGAGAGACUGAUCGGCCACAUUGGGACUGAGACACGGCCCAAACUCCUACGGGAGGCUGCAGUAGGGAAUCUUCCACAAUGGGCGCAAGCCUGAUGGAGCAACGCCGCGUGUGUGAUGAAGGCUUUCGGGUCGUAAAGCACUGUUGUAUGGGAAGAAAUGCUAAAAUAGGGAAUGAUUUUAGUUUGACGGUACCAUACCAGAAAGGGACGGCUAAAUACGUGCCAGCAGCCGCGGUAAUACGUAUGUCCCGAGCGUUAUCCGGAUUUAUUGGGCGUAAAGCGAGCGCAGACGGUUGAUUAAGUCUGAUGUGAAAGCCCGGAGCUCAACUCCGGAAUGGCAUUGGAAACUGGUUAACUUGAGUGUUGUAGAGGUAAGUGGAACUCCAUGUGUAGCGGUGGAAUGCGUAGAUAUAUGGAAGAACACCAGUGGCGAAGGCGGCUUACUGGACAACAACUGACGUUGAGGCUCGAAAGUGUGGGUAGCAAACAGGAUUAGAUACCCUGGUAGUCCACACCGUAAACGAUGAAUACUAGGUGUUAGGAGGUUUCCGCCUCUUAGUGCCGAAGCUAACGCAUUAAGUAUUCCGCCUGGGGAGUACGACCGCAAGGUUGAAACUCAAAGGAAUUGACGGGGACCCGCACAAGCGGUGGAGCAUGUGGUUUAAUUCGAAGCAACGCGAAGAACCUUACCAGGUCUUGACAUCCUUUGAAGCUUUUAGAGAUAGAAGUGUUCUCUUCGGAGACAAAGUGACAGGUGGUGCAUGGUCGUCGUCAGCUCGUGUCGUGAGAUGUUGGGUUAAGUCCCGCAACGAGCGCAACCCUUAAUGGUUAGU
rnacentral:rRNA from 1 species